UGGGCCCUUUCACAGGCCCUCCUGGGACCAGGAUUGGGUUGCUGGUGCUGAGAGAAAGCCCUUGAUUGCAUCCUUGCUCUGGGACGGUACCAGUGGCAGCUGUCACUUAGUGGGACAGAG
rnacentral:snoRNA from 1 species